CCUACGGGUGGCAGCAGUGAGGAAUAUUGGUCAAUGGCCGGAAGGCUGAACCAGCCAUGCCGCGUGAAGGUCAGUGCCCUAUGGGCGUUAAACUUCUUUUGUGCGGGAGCAAUAAUGGUCACGUGUGGCCAGACGAGAGUACCGUACGAAUAAGCAUCGGCUAACUCCGUGCCAGCAGCCGCGGUAAUACGGGGGAUGCAAGCGUUUUCCGGAUUUAUUGGGUUUAAAGGGUGGGUAGGCUGGGAGGUAAGUCAGCGGUGAAAUGCCCCGGCUCAACGGGGUGAAGUGCCAUUGAUACUGCCUGGCUGGAAUGCGGGUGCCGUGGGAGGAAUGUGUGGUGUAGCGGUGAAAUGCAUAGAUAUCACACAGAACACCGAUUGCGAAGGCAUCUCACGAAUCCGCGAUUGACGCUGAUGCACGAAAGCGUGGGUAUCAAACAGGAUUAGAUACCCCGGUAGUC
rnacentral:rRNA from 1 species